AUGUGCUACUACUAUCCCGAUGCAGCGAAGCUAGGUGGUGCUAUUAUGGCGGGGGAAGGGUCUACUUCUGCUCCAUCGGAAUGCUUUUGGUGGCAGUAUAUGAAUCUGCUGCGUCUUUUAUCUCUGGUGUUGGAUCACCUACUCACUACUGCGCUGCGACAAGGACUGGAACUGCCUCCGCGUUUGGACCUUUGAUUAAUUAA